rnacentral:rRNA from 1 species
UACGAAGGGGGCUAGCGUUGCUCGGAAUCACUGGGCGUAAAGCGCACGUAGGCGGACUCUUAAGUCGGUGGUGAAAUCCUGGAGCUCAACUCCAGAACUGCCUUCGAUACUGAGAGUCUCGAGUCCGGGAGGGGAGAGUGGAAUUCCCAGUGUAGCGGUGAAAUGCGUAGAUAUUGGGAAGAACACCGGUGGCGAAGGCGGCCAUCUGGACCGGAACUGACGCUGAGGCGCGAAAGCCAGGGGAGCGAAUGGG